GGGGGAUCUCAGAGCCGCUGUAGGGGGGGUAGGCGGCCUCGCAAGCCAGCCCCGGCAGAGAGGGACCCUGAAUCUACCAUCCACAAGGUCUGCUUUUGGGUUAAGCAUUGCCCUCCCUGAGACACCUCGUCACACCACUAACUGUGUGGCCUUGGACCUCAGUUUUCCUUAUCUGUAAAAUGGCCUCACGAGGGGUGUAAUGCAGGAACUCAUGAGCUAGACAGUCUCUUAAGGUUACAUCCAGGCAGGAACAGUGUGACCAUGUAUGUGGGAGGGAAGUGGGUUGUGGGACACCCUGCUCCCCUGGCAUAUAUGCUGACCCCAACCACGGGGGCCUGAAGGUCUGGAUCUGCUCAUCUUGUGGCUUGAGGUUAGAGCUUCCCUGGGUCACCCCCUUUCUUUGUCGUGGGGACUUGGCCCAUCAGAAAUGUCAGCCCUCCCAGAGUCUGGGACUGGCUCUUGGGGUGCUCUGUGGGCAAUCACUGAGGCCUGCAGGGGCUGCGAGGCAUCAUCAGUGAAAGAAACAGGAUGGUGCUGGCUCGGGACGCCCUGCGGGAUAUGGGCUGUGUCUCACAGGACAGCUGCCACUCAGCUCCAGACCUCCUGGUUUUUCAGAGGCAUCUAGAAACCUAGAUUUGUAUGUGAGUCUCCCAAUUUCAAAAUGUUAACAGCUAGUUCAGAUUUAAAACAAGAUGAAACAAGUCCUGUGGAGGCCAAAUCAGACCCUUUCAGAGGCUAGAUAGGCCUUGGGUCAAUGGUCGGGGACUGUGCCAUGAGCAUUUAUAGAGGGUCACAGCUUGAAGCUGCCUGCAUGGGGUGAGGGGACAGGAAGGGCCCUCGGGUAGCUUCAGCUUGCAUCUCCUGCGUGACGGGAAGCACUCUCUCCAAAGGCUUCUGUGUCUCUGUUAGGCAGUUCUAAGAGAAGAGCUUCCCUGUGGCUUUGUAGGAUGUUCUCCAGCCUUAAGGCUCCCUUUGCUUGCUGACCUAGGAGUUAUACUUAGGCCAAAUCAUCAUGAAGACAGGAGAAAGGUGACUCACAGAGUUGCUCCUUGCAGAGUUAAUGCAAUGGUGAAAAAAUUUAGUUGGAAAUGAUCUUUUCAAAACUAGGGGGUCAGUCAGAUCAGUUUAAGGAAUUAGUUCUUGGUGGUAGAACUAAUUCUAGGGAAUUUCUGAUAAUGUGGAAACAUAUGUGUGAUGCAGUGUCAAGUUAGACCAGGAUCCAAAAUAGCGUUUGCAGAAUGAGUUUGAUUAUAUUCAAUAUAAAAAUAGAUCUUGGGCUUCCCUGGUGGCGCAGUGGCUAAGAAUCUGCCUGCCAAUGCAAGGAACACAGGUUUGAGCCCUGGCCUGGGAAGAUCCCACGUGCCGCAGAGCAACUAAGCCCGUGCGCCACAACUACUGAGCCCACGUGCCACAGCUACUGAAGCCUGCGCGCCCAGAGCCCAUGCUUCGCAACGAGAGAAGCCACCGCAAUGAGAAGCCGCGCACUGCAACGAAGAGCAGCCUCCGCUCGCCACAACUAGAGAAAGCCCGCGUGCAGCAACGAAGACCCAACACAGCCAAAAAAAUUAAAGAAACAAACUAAUUAAUUAA